rnacentral:rRNA from 1 species
GAGGAAUAUUGGUCAAUGGACGUAAGUCUGAACCAGCCAAGUAGCGUGCAGGAUGACGGCCCUAUGGGUUGUAAACUGCUUUUGUAUGGGGAUAAAGUCAGUCACGUGUGAUUGUUUGCAGGUACCAUACGAAUAAGGACCGGCUAAUUCCGUGCCAGCAGCCGCGGUAAUACGGAAGGUCCGGGCGUUAUCCGGAUUUAUUGGGUUUAAAGGGAGCGUAGGCCGGAGAUUAAGUGUGUUGUGAAAUGUAGACGCUCAACGUCUGACUUGCAGCGCAUACUGGUUUCCUUGAGUACGCACAACGUUGGCGGAAUUCGUCGUGUAGCGGUGAAAUGCUUAGAUAUGACGAAGAACUCCGAUUGCGAAGGCAGCUGACGGGAGCGCAACUGACGCUUAAGCUCGAAGGUGCGGGUAUCGAACAGGAUUAGAUACCCUGGUAGUCCGCACAGUAAACGAUGGAUGCCCGCUGUUGGUACCUGGUAUCAGCGGCUAAGCGAAAGCAUUAAGCAUCCCACCUGGGGAGUACGCCGGCAACGGUG